rnacentral:rRNA from 1 species
UGGCGGUCUGCUUAACACAUGCAAGUCGAACGAACUCUUCGGAGUGAGUGGCGGACGGGUGAGUAACGCGUGAGAAUCUGCCUGUGGGUCGGGGACAACCACUGGAAACGGUGGCUAAUACCGGAUGAGCCGAAAGGUAAAAAAUUUAUUGCCCACAGAUGAGCUCGCGUCUGAUUAGCUAGUUGGUAAGGUAAAAGCGUACCAAGGCGACGAUCAGUAGCUGGUCUGAGAGGAUGAGCAGCCACACUGGGACUGAGACACGGCCCAGACUCCUACGGGAGGCAGCAGUGGGGAAUUUUCCGCAAUGGGCGAAAGCCUGACGGAGCAAGACCGCGUGGGGGAGGAAGGUUUUUGGAUCGUAAACCCCUUUUGUCAAGGAAGAAGUUCUGACGGUACUUGACGAAUAAGCCUCGGCUAACUCCGUGCCAGCAGCCGCGGUAAUACGGGAGGAGGCAAGCGUUAUCCGGAAUGAUUGGGCGUAAAGCGUCUGUAGGUGGCCAGCUAAGUCUGCUGUUAAAGAUCACAGCUCA